AGUAGGCAUAUAGGAUGAGCCUUGACUGGAAUACAGUAUAUACAUAUGAAGUAGGUAAAACGGACCAAAGAGAACAUGAUGGCCAUUGAUCACAGACUUUCUCUACCCCUGACAAGUUUUAUUAUGGCCAUUUCCUUGACUACAACUACAACUCUGACAAGCUCUUCUGAGAGAGGAAAUAAUGCCACUGUCGCAAAUAUCCGUUUGGUUACUGCAAUCACAGAGACAAUGGCGCCAAACCAGACCUACACCACAGCCAUGUCAACUCCUUCAAAUGUCACUGUUGACGGUGCUCUCCCUACUACAAGUUACCAUAACUCAAGUCAGAACAGCACUGGAACAACAACUCACAAUGCUGUGCAGGACAACUCAACAACCACAACAGCACUGGCUGACAGCUCAAACACAACCACUGAGGCAACACCAUCAGCUUUGGCCCCUACAGGUAAUGCUACAUCUGCAGCCAUUACAGUCCCAGGUAUUGUCCCCUCCACUGCAACAACCACCCAAGCAGCCAAGACCACUGAAAACCAAAACAGUACAUCAAAUAUCCCACCACAACAAUCAACUAAGAAUCUUCCUCAAACCACAAAUGCCGCCAUGUCGAUGACAACCGCAACACAUAAUGUGACACAAGGUUUUGGACUAGACAAUUCAGAAAAAGGCAUGACGGUUUUCUUCAGUGUUGUGCUUGGGGUGUUUGUUUUGGGAAUAUUUAUGUACACGUUGAAUAGAUGGAACAAGAUGAGGCAAUACUCACACCGACCUCUCUAUAACAACUCUGAGGCCGAAGUGGGUGGAUCCCUAGCAGCAGACGACACACUUGUAAUUUCAGGAGGACUCUACGAUGGUUCACAAAUCUAUAAUCCAACUAUGACAACUACUGAUAUGACGGAGGAUGAGUUCAAUUUUGAUAACCGUCUACAUGUGUCCCAGCGAUCACAGUUCCGCCUGGAGUUCUUAACUGAAGAACGAGAGAGCUCCCCAGGCUAUGAGGCCUCUACCUUUCAUACUUUUCAGCCAAUUGAUGAUGAUUUUUAAUGUAAAAUCUAGCUUCUUUUUUUUUUGUUUUACUCCAGUUUGUAAAUGGUGUCCAAACUAGCCAAUGGGCUUUUUUUUAACAUCACUUUAACAAUUGCAUUGUUUAUACUGUUGAAGUCGGAAGUUUACAUACACUUAGGUUGGAGUCAUUAAAACUUUUUCAACCACUCCACAAAUUUCUUGUUAACAAACUAAUAGUUUUGGAAGUUGGUUAGAACAUGUACUUUGUGCAUGACACAAGUAAUUUUUCCAACAAUUGUUUACAGACAAAUUAUUUCACUUAUAAUUCACUGUAUCACAAUUCCAGUGGGUCAGAAGUUUACAUACACUAAUUUGACUGUGCCUUUAAACAGCUUGGAAAAGUCCAGAAAAUGAUGUCAUGGCUUUAGAAGCUUCUGAUAGGCUAAUUGACAUAAUUUGACUCAAUUGGAGGUGUACCUGCGGAGGUAUUUCAAGGCCUACCUUCAAACUCAGUGCCUCUUUUGCUUAACAGCAUGGGAAAUUGAAAAAAAAUCAGCCAGGACCUUGUGAAGAUGCUGGAGGAAACAGGCACAAAAGUAUCUAUAGCCACAGUAAAACAAGUCCUAUGUCGACAUAACCUGAAAGGCCGCUCAGCAAGGAAGAAGCCACUGCUCCGAAACCGCAAGAAAAAGCCAGACUAUGGUUUGCAACUGCACAUGGGGAUAAAGAUCGUACUUUUUGGAGAAAUGUCCUCUUGUCUGAUGAAAAAAAAAUAGAACUGUUUGGCCAUAAUGACCAUCAUUAUGUUUGGUGGAAAAAGGGGGAGGCUUGCAAGCUCAAGAACACCAUCCCAACCAAUAAGCACAUGUUGUGGGGGUGCUUUGCUGCAGGAGGGACAGGUGCACUUCACAAAAUAUAUGGCAUAUGAAGGAGGACAUUUACGUGGAUAUAUUGAAGGAACAUCUCAAGACAUCAGUCAGGAAGUUAAAGCUUGGUCGCAAAUGGGUCUUCCAAAUGGACAAUGACCCCAAGCAUACUUCCAAAGUUGUGGCAAAAUGGCUUAAGGACAACAAAGUAAAGGUAUUGGAGUGGCUAUCACAAAGCCCUGACCUCAAUUAUAUACAAAAUCUGUGGGUAGAACUGAAAAAGUGUGUGCGAGCAAGGAGGCCUACAAACCUGACUCGGUUACACUCGCUCUAUCAGGAGAAAUGGGCCAACAUUCACCCAACUUAUUGUGGGAAGCUUGUGGAAGGCUACCUGAAACAUUUGACCCAAGAUAAACAAUUUAAAGGCAAUGCUACCAAAUACUAAUUGAGUGUAUGUAAACUUCUGACUCACUGGGAAUGUGAUGAAAGAAAUAAAAUCUGAAAAAUAAUUCUCUCUACUAUUAUUCUGAUAUUUUUGCAUUCUUAAAAUAAAGUGGUGGUCCUAAGUGACCUAAAACAGGGAAUAUUUACUCGGAUUAAAUGUCAGGAAUUGUGAAAAACUGAGGUUAAACGUAUUUGUGCAUGUAAACUUCAUACUUCAACUGUAUACAUUUUUUGUAUGUAUAUUAUUUGUAUUUUUUCUUCUUAGUACUUUUGUCACCCUACCAUUCCCUCCCUACCCUAAUUGGAUUCAGCUAAUGGACAACAAUACUUAUACCACUACUGACAGUUAUUUCGCUCUAUGAUACCUGUAGUUAAAUAAUUAUAUAUAUAUUCCUAACUUCCUCUUUCUUCAAGUGUUGGAUUUUCACCCACAGCGGCCAAUCCAUUAUUCAUUCUGAUCUUAACUCCAACCCUCUGAUGUCCACCGAUUAACCCAUCUUUCCCAGUAUAAUGCCAUUUUUCUAUUUUCUUUUACAAUACUUCCCUUCAUUUUACUAUGAUGUCUUACGAGGGUCCUGUACUGAAUACUUUACCUAGGAGUAUAAUGAUAUUUCGCAUUGACUGAUUGUGGUUUUUCAGAUCCCCUAACAAUGCAGGUUGCAGGUCCUGCUGAACACAGACAUUAAGACUGAACAACCAUUCCUGGGCCUGACUCCAAAAUCGAGACACCAAUGGAAUGUACCAUAAAAUAUGUUCUAUUGAUUCUGUGUCCUCAUGACAGUCUGCACAAGGCUGACUGUUCAAUGCCCAAUAUAUUGAGCAUUCAUUUUGUAGCAAGUAUUUUAUACUAUAGCUUAAAUUUUAAAUAAUUGAUUGAAGUGUCAAUUGUUGUUUUAUAUAUCAAUUCAUAGAUCCGAAGCCAAGGUAUUGAGCCAUCAAAAGCCUGUUUUCAUAUGACUUGAUUUUUAUACGGUAUUGCUGUCAAGCACGUUGACUGAUACAUUUUUCGAUUUACACUACUCAUUUUAAACCAUUUAUGAUUUUGAAUGGGUGGCAGACAGAUUAAUUCUUUAAUUUCUUCAAAAAGUAAUGGUCUCUUCCCAUUUUGUGGCAGUGCUGCAAUGAGCUGGUUAUAAUUUUUGGAUUGAGCAUAUACCUCCAUGUUGUUAGUAUGCCUGUGUGACAUAAGUUUACAAUUUUUAUUCAUGAUUUUUUCUGUAUCAGUAAAUUGGAGUUAAUAUUAUUCUAUUAUUAUUCUAUUAUUUGCUGUAAAAUUAAAUCUUCCUUUUCUGGAGGAUGGAAUUGAAAUUGUAGCCAACUCUGUAAAAAGGAGGAUACAUGAAACGGAUUGUACACUAAGUGUACAAAACAUGAGGACCAUUUGCUUUCUCCGUGACAGUCUGACCAGGUGAAUCCAGGUUAAAGUUAUGAUCCCUUAUUAAUGUCACCUGUUAAAUCCACUUCAAUCAGUGUAGAUAAACGGGAGGGCACAGGUUAAAGAAGGAUUGUUAAGAUUUGAGACAUGGAUUGUGUAUGUGUGCCAUUUAGAGGGUGAAUGGGCAAGACAAAAGAUUUAAAUUCCUUUGAACAGGUUAUGGUAGUAGGUGCCAGGCAAACUAGUUUGAGUGUGUCAAGAACUGCAAUGCUGCUGGGUUUGUCAUGCUCCACAGUUUCCCGUGUGUAACAAGAAUGGUCCACAACCCAAAGGACAUCUAUCCAAGUUGACACAACUGUUGGAAGCAUUGGAGUAAUCCCUAUGGAAUGCUUUCGACCACCUUGUAGAGUCCAUGCCCGAUGGAUUGAGACUGUUCUUAGGACAAAAGGGAUUGAAACUCAAUAUUAUGAAGGUGUUCCUUAUGUUUUCUACACUCAGUGUAUAUACAGUGCAUUCGGAAAGUAUUCAGACCCCUUCACUUUUUACACAUUUUGUUACGUUACAGCCUUAUACUAAAUUCGAUUAAAUAUGUUUUUUUCCUCAUCAAUCUACACACCAUACCCCAUAAUGACAAAGUGAAAAAAGGUUUUUAGAAAUGUUUGUAAAUGUAUUCAAAAUAAAAAACGGAAAUACCUUAUUUA